rnacentral:rRNA from 1 species
UACGAAGGGGGCUAGCGUUGUUCGGAUUUACUGGGCGUAAAGCGCACGUAGGCGGGUCGUUAAGUCAGGGGUGAAAUCCCGGAGCUCAACUCCGGAACUGCCUUUGAUACUGGCGACCUUGAGGCUGGAAGAGGUUAGUGGAAUUCCCAGUGUAGAGGUGAAAUUCGUAGAUAUUCGCAAGAACACCAGUGGCGAAGGCGGCUCACUGGCCCGAAACUGACGCUGAGGCACGAAAGCGUGGGAGCAAACAGG